CACACCCAUCAUCCAGCACUCACAUCCAUCAUCCAGCACUCACACAUCCAUCAUCCAGCACUCACACACCCAUCAUCCAGCACUUACACACACACAUCAUCCAGCACUCACACACACCCAUCAUCCAGCACUCACACACACCCAUCAUCCAGCACUCACACACACCCAUCAUCCAGCACUCACACACACCCAUCAUCCAGCACACACACACACAUCAUCCAGCACUCACACACACAUCAUCCAGCACUCACACACCCAUCAUCCAGCACUCUCACACACAUCAUCCAGCACUCACACACCCAUCAUCCAGCACUCUCACACACAUCAUCCAGCACUCACACACCCAUCAUCCAGCACUCACACACACACAUCAUCCAGCACUCACACACAUCAUCCAGCACUCACACACAC